UAGUCGGGGUGGCUGCCGACAAUAGCUUGCUACAGAUGGCGCAGAGGAGGUCACUCCUGAGCCCCUUCCUCUGUCCUCUGUCCUGUUGGGAGCCAAGUGUGUUAGGCCACCGAGCCCCAGGAGCUGCAGGCAGCCGGCUGUUGCUGGCAGGGUCUUUUGGGUACCUGAUAAGCAAUGGAGACUCAAGGAGAAGGGGCGGGAGAGUGAGCGCAGCAGCAGGCAGACAUGGGUAUUUCUUGGCUGAGAUGGCAAAGCUCUGUUCCUCCCAAGCUGCUCAGCGCUAGAAGAAGGAUCUCAGUGUCAGACAGCCAGUGACAUCGUGAUCCCUCCCUCUGCUUUGGUAGAAUGAGUUCAAAUACACAGGCCGGUCUGUGUUUCUGCCUUGGGUUUCUGCCGUCUGCCAUCCCAUGCAAGGAGGAACUGGUUAAAACACAGACUUCCUGCUCUGAACGCGUGAACUGCCCCCUCACCUUAACCCCAGAACGACUAAGUUGUAUUAGUCCGAGUGUAGACGAACCAACCAAGGGAGGGACCUGAUUCCAGGAGUACAUAGUCUCUCGCGGGGCCAAAGUAGAACCCCACUGCUGUGUGUUCCCUCUUCCCUGGGCGGCCUCCCAUAGAAACACAUUGGUCCUGGGGUCCACUGUGAGGCUGACCUCCAAUUAAAGGCAAGUCCUGCAGAAAAGAGC
rnacentral:lncRNA from 1 species